rnacentral:rRNA from 1 species
UUGACGGGGCCCGCACAAGCGGUGGAGUAUGUGGUUUAAUUCGAUGCAACGCGAAGAACCUUACCUGGUCUUGACAUCCCGGAGACCCUUAGGAAACUAGGGGGUGCUUCCAUCUGGAAGAAUCUGGAGACAGGUGCUGCAUGGCUGUCGUCAGCUCGUGUCGUGAGAUGUUGGGUUAAGUCCCGCAACGAGCGCAACCCUUGCCUUUAGUUGCCAGCAGUUCGGCUGGGCACUCUAAAGGGACUGCCGGUGUUAAACCGGAGGAAGGUGGGGAUGACGUCAAGUCCUCAUGGCCUUUAUGACCAGGGCUACACACGUACUACAAUGGCCGAUACAAAGGGCAGCGACACUGCGAGGUGAAGCCAAUCCCGUAAAAUCGGUCUCAGUCCGGAUUGGAGUCUGCAACUCGACUCCAUGAAGUUGGAAUCGCUAGUAAUCGUGGAUCAGCAUGCCACGGUGAAUACAUUCCCGGGCCUU